AGGAAGUAUGGUAAUACAUUCUUGUCAGCUGUCUGGGCAAAUCUUCUCUCGCAGAAUUGGAUUAAAAUUUAAUGUAUUUUAUUUCUCACUUCCAACGAUGUCGCAAUUAUUAGGCAGCUAUCAAGUCUCAAGAUAUGACAUAAUUUGAUAGAAUGUUAGUACCAACGCUAUCAGUGCAUUGAAGUCGAGUUCUCGAUACAGGGAGCUGCUGGUAAACUACCGUCGCUAUACAUCGACUAUGACUACAAUCCUACUUUUAAAAACAAACUACAUACAUAUCUCACAUUUGCGAGGACUACUUCAUCACAAGCAAAAAAUCGACAUUGGUAAAUAAAGGUCUGUCUUCUAUAACCACGAUGAAAAGAAAAGCUGGGCGAAAACAUUUGAGACUGCAGAUUGCAGAACUGGAACACUCUAUUUGAAGACAGUGGCUGCUGAGUGCUGAGCUGCAUCAAAUCUAUCAGCAUCAUGUAACUUCGAUCAGGAACAGACUCCAUUUCAUUUCCGACAACUAGCACCUGUUUUCCCUAGACUUACCAAGUAUUAAGUAACUGCAUUAGUAUUAGGUUAAAUUAAAGGCCCUACAUCGAACAAGUCUAACAAUUAAAACUUAAAUGCAAGAGUGCACAAUUUAUCACUAAAUAUCUUCCUCUUUUAAUUCUAAUCAACACACGGUUUCGUCUUUGUUUCACCCAAUCGUGCUGAUAAUCAGUAAUCAUGCACUCUGCACUCUAACUUCGAGAUGUUUCAAAAGGGCUCCCGACGAGUUGAAUUAGAUCAAUAUUUUCUUUUGAUACAUAGAUACUGAUUGGGAGGUUCAUCAUACUAUUCUUGUCACAUGGUAACGAUUAACGAUUAGCUGAUCAGCUUCCAGCAUCGACAGGCCGAAAUCCAUAAAUAUAAUCAGUUGUAAUUUAAUAUUUAUCAUCGUCCGGAUCAUCAUAAUAUUUUAAUUUAAAGUUACAAUUGAACGGUGUUAAGAAAGAUAAUUUAAGAGAAAUGUUUUGAAAGUGCCUGAUUUCGAGUAUAAGAUCUGUACUGAUACAUUAAUUUUCAGAUUGUUAUUAUAGUUUAUUUGUAUUUUUUAUAUUAUCUUAUCCGCACAAGUUCGGAAGCCAUCUGAACGCUAUUGCCAGACACAGGCAUAUAUUUAUUUUGGGGUAUCAUGCUCUCAGAAAUUUCAACUCAGUCCGAUAUUAUAGUUAUACUAACCUGCAUUGCACAAGGUUAAUUGUCUCGCAGUCUAGUGCAUAAACCUUUUAUUUUGUAUAAACCCUUUAUUUUGAUUGGGAAAACUUUAGUUUAAUGUGGUUACCGUCUCUAAAGUUGGCAUGAUAGUUAAUAAACUCUUAUCUAUUAUGUCACUGAAGAUGACGCCUUGCAACAUGUUUGACGAUAGCCUGUAGAUUGAUAGUUUGAUCUAAGUAUUUACAACAAUUCAUCUAGUUUGAUUGAUUCAAAGGGAAACAAAUUCCUCUCUUAUCUAUUAUGACUAUAUUUAAAUUCAAUCCUGUAAAGUGAUACUCCUUUUUUAGUAAUUUAAA